rnacentral:tRNA from 1 species
GCCCGGGUGGCGAAACCGGCAGACGCGCGGGACUUAAAAUCCUGUGGAGGUUCUCCCUCCAUGUGGGUUCGACUCCCACCCCGGGCA